CCUACGGGAGGCAGCAGUGAGGAAUAUUGGUCAAUGGACGAGAGUCUGAACCAGCCAAGUAGCGUGAAGGACGACUGCCCUAUGGGUUGUAAACUUCUUUUAUAUGGGAAUAAAAUGUUCCACGUGUGGGAUUUUGUAUGUACCAUAUGAAUAAGGAUCGGCUAACUCCGUGCCAGCAGCCGCGGUAAUACGGAGGAUCCGAGCGUUAUCCGGAUUUAUUGGGUUUAAAGGGAGCGUAGGUGGAUUGUUAAGUCGGUUGUGAAAGUUUGCGGCUCAACCGUAAAAUUGCAGUUGAAACUGGCAGUCGUGAGUACAGUAGAGGUGGGCGGAAUUCGUGGUGUAGCGGUGAAAUGCUUAGAUAUCACGAAGAACUCCGAUUGCGAAGGCAGCUCACUGGACUGCAACUGACACUGAGGCUCGAAAGUGUGGGUAUCAAACAGGAUUAGAUACCCUGGUAGUC
rnacentral:rRNA from 1 species